AUGAACGCUAGCUACAGGCUUAACACAUGCAAGUCGAGGGGCAGCAUGGUCUUAGCUUGCUAAGGCCGAUGGCGACCGGCGCACGGGUGAGUAACACGUAUCCAACCUGCCGUCUACUCUUGGACAGCCUUCUGAAAGGAAGAUUAAUACAAGAUGGCAUCAUGAGUCCGCAUGUUCACAUGAUUAAAGGUAUUCCGGUAGACGAUGGGGAUGCGUUCCAUUAGAUAGUAGGCGGGGUAACGGCCCACCUAGUCUUCGAUGGAUAGGGGUUCUGAGAGGAAGGUCCCCCACAUUGGAACUGAGACACGGUCCAAACUCCUACGGGAGGCAGCAGUGAGGAAUAUUGGUCAAUGGGCGAGAGCCUGAACCAGCCAAGUAGCGUGAAGGAUGACUGCCCUAUGGGUUGUAAACUUCUUUUAUAAAGGAAUAAAGUCGGGUAUGCAUACCCGUUUGCAUGUACUUUAUGAAUAAGGAUCGGCUAACUCCGUGCCAGCAGCCGCGGUAAUACGGAGGAUCCGAGCGUUAUCCGGAUUUAUUGGGUUUAAAGGGAGCGUAGAUGGAUGUUUAAGUCAGUUGUGAAAGUUUGCGGCUCAACCGUAAAAUUGCAGUUGAUACUGGAUAUCUUGAGUGCAGUUGAGGCAGGCGGAAUUCGUGGUGUAGCGGUGAAAUGCUUAGAUAUCACGAAGAACUCCGAUUGCGAAGGCAGCCUGCUAAGCUGCAACUGACAUUGAGGCUCGAAAGUGUGGGUAUCAAACAGGAUUAGAUACCCUGGUAGUCCACACGGUAAACGAUGAAUACUCGCUGUUUGCGAUAUACGGCAAGCGGCCAAGCGAAAGCGUUAAGUAUUCCACCUGGGGAGUACGCCGGCAACGGUGAAACUCAAAGGAAUUGACGGGGGCCCGCACAAGCGGAGGAACAUGUGGUUCAAUUCGAUGAUACGCGAGGAACCUUACCCGGGCUUAAAUUGCAGAUGAAUUACGGUGAAAGCCGUAAGCCGCAAGGCAUCUGUGAAGGUGCUGCAUGGUUGUCGUCAGCUCGUGCCGUGAGGUGUCGGCUUAAGUGCCAUAACGAGCGCAACCCUUGUUGUCAGUUACUAACAGGUUCCGCUGAGGACUCUGACAAGACUGCCAUCGUAAGAUGUGAGGAAGGUGGGGAUGACGUCAAAUCAGCACGGCCCUUACGUCCGGGGCUACACACGUGUUACAAUGGGGGGUACAGAGGGCCGCUACCACGCGAGUGGAUGCCAAUCCCAAAAACCUCUCUCAGUUCGGACUGGAGUCUGCAACCCGACUCCACGAAGCUGGAUUCGCUAGUAAUCGCGCAUCAGCCACGGCGCGGUGAAUACGUUCCCGGGCCUUGUACACACCGCCCGUCAAGCCAUGGGAGCCGGGGGUACCUGAAGUGCGUAACCGCGAGGAGCGCCCUAGGGUAAAACUGGUGACUGGGGCU
rnacentral:rRNA from 1 species